rnacentral:rRNA from 1 species
AAUAGAUACCCGGGUAGUCCACGCCGUAAACGAUGUCGACUUGGAGGUUGUUCCCUUGAGGAGUGGCUUCCGGAGCUAACGCGUUAAGUCGACCGCCUGGGGAGUACGGCCGCAAGGUUAAAACUCAAAUGAAUUGACGGGGGGCCCGCACAAGCGGUGGAGCAUGUGGUUUAAUUCGAUGCAACGCGAAGAACCUUACCUACUCUUGACAUCCACGGAACUUUUCAGAGAUGAAUUGGUGCCUUCGGGAACCGUGAGACAGGUGCUGCAUGGCUGUCGUCAGCUCGUGUUGUGAAAUGUUGGGUUAAGUCCCGCAACGAGCGCAACCCUUAUCCUUUGUUGCCAGCGGUCCGGCCGGGAACUCAAAGGAGACUGCCAGUGAUAAACUGGAGGAAGGUGGGGAUGACGUCAAGUCAUCAUGGCCCUUACGAGUAGGGCUACACACGUGCUACAAUGGCGCAUACAAAGAGAAGCGACCUCGCGAGAGCAAGCGGACCUCAUAAAGUGCGUCGUAGUCCGGAUUGGAGUCUGCAACUCGACU